rnacentral:rRNA from 1 species
UACGGGAGGCAGCAGUGGGGAAUAUUGCACAAUGGGCGCAAGCCUGAUGCAGCCAUGCCGCGUGUAUGAAGAAGGCCUUCGGGUUGUAAGGUACUUUCAGUCGUGAGGAAGGUGUUAAGGUUAAUAACCUUAGCAAUUGACGUUAGCGACAGAAGAAGCACCGGCUAACUCCGUGCCAGCAGCCGCGGUAAUACGGAGGGUGCGAGCGUUAAUCGGAAUUACUGGGCGUAAAGGGCACGCAGGCGGCUAAUUAAGUUGGAUGUGAAAUCCCCGGGCUUAACCUGGGAAUGGCAUUCAAGACUGGUUAGCUAGAGUCUUGUAGAGGGGGUAGAAUUCCAUGUGUAGCGGUGAAAUGCGUAGAGAUGUGGAGGAAUACCGGUGGCGAAGGCGGCCCCUGGGACAAAGACUGACGCUCAUGUGCGAAAGCGUGGGGAGCAAACAGGGAUUAGAUACC